GUCGGUUUUUCAUCUUCCGGUGGACAUAUGCAAUUCUUUUUACAUCAACUUCCAUAGCAUUAAGUCGACUUAAUUAAAAAUUCUACCAAAAAUUUAAGAGUUGUAACAUCAACAGUCAGAUUGUAUAUAAUUUACUUUAUGCAGACUAUAAUCUUUUAUAUUCGAACAUAACAAACAGACAAAAAAUACUCCAAAUCGUUAAUGUGCAGCAAAUCUCUUGUCAUCAAACUGGAACAAUUCCUAACAAAAUUUAACCUGCACCUUCAAAACCAAAAAGAACAAAGCUAUUGGGAAUAAUUUGAAUUUAUUAAUUUGCAAAUUUAUGGAAUAUAAUUAGCUUUACAUCAAAUUUUUAGUAGUGGACUCACAUCGUGAGCCACUACUGUGCCGUUUUUUCUGAUCAUCAAAAAGCUUAUGCAAUGUGAUUGUAAAAGAGAUGUAAAAAGCCCAUGAAAAGAAACAGCAAAACCAGUUACUUAAUCAACUAUACUGCUUCAAUUCUACUAUAAAACUCACAAAAAAAAACUGAAAACUACGCGUAGACAGAAAAAUUAUUAUUUUAAAAAUUUGUUAAUAAGUAGUUUAACUAUUAAAUUUAACGAGAUUAGAAUUGUAUCAAAAAGAACCAAGAUUUUAGAACUUUUGUAAAACCACAUAUAAUCAUCAAAUCUUGAUCGAAUAUCAGCCACAUGUCAUUAACAAUAUUCUCGGAAUAGCAGCCGGAGCACCUUCAGAAAUCACUGGUUAUUGUAACUACAUGAAUUACCAUUUUUUACCAAAAACCAUCAUUGUCUUAAGCGAACACCCCUAUUGUCAAUUGCAAAACACAGAUACUUUUUAUUUCUAAACUAUAAACCUAAACAGCACCCCCAGCUUGCAGUUUGAAGAGGCCUCCUCACUCGGCAGUUGCAGAAUACUAUGAAUUGGUGAGUCAUGUAUAAUUGUUUUUAUGUUUUGCAGUUCUCAAUCAUACAUAGCAUAAGAGUAGUCAUAAUUUCCCAACAUUAUCAUUAUUAUGUGUAAGAGAAGUUACUCCAAGUACAUUCUAACUCUUUUGUCUUAGUUUUAGCAUUACGCGAUUUUAAAGGGAAUGCUGUUACGCAAAAUAUCAUUUUUUUGAUUUUUUCUUUUACAUUAUUUUAUGUUCUUUUUUUCUGGUUCACUCAAAAAAACACUCCA